GACGAACGCUGGCGGCGUGCUUAACACAUGCAAGUCGAACGGAAAGGCCCUGCUUUUGUGGGGUGCUCGAGUGGCGAACGGGUGAGUAACACGUGAGUAACCUGCCCUUGACUUUGGGAUAACUUCAGGAAACUGGGGCUAAUACCGGAUAGGAGCUCCUGCUGCAGGGUGGGGGUUGGAAAGUUUCGGCGGUUGGGGAUGGACUCGCGGCUUAUCAGCUUGUUGGUGGGGUAGUGGCUUACCAAGGCUUUGACGGGUAGCCGGCCUGAGAGGGUGACCGGCGACAUUGGGACUGAGAUACGGCCCAGACUCCUACGGGAGGCAGCAGUGGGGAAUAUUGCACAAUGGGCGGAAGCCUGAUGCAGCAACGCCGCGUGCGGGAUGACGUCCUUCGGGUUGUAAACCGCUUUCGCCUGUGACGAAGCGUGAGUGACGGUAAUGGGUAAAGAAGCACCGGCUAACUACGUG
rnacentral:rRNA from 1 species